UUAGAUACCCUGGUAGUCCACGCCGUAAACGAUGAGUACUAAGUGUCGGGAUAAAACUCGGUACUGAAGUUAACACAUUAAGUACUCCGCCUGAGUAGUACGUACGCAAGUAUGAAACUUAAAGGAAUUGACGGGACUCCGCACAAGCGGUGGAUCAUGUUGUUUAAUUCGAAGAUACACGAAAAACCUUACCAGGUCUUGACAUACUCUGCAAAGCUAUAGAAAUAUAGUGGAGGUUAUCAGGGAUACAGGUGGUGCAUGGUUGUCGUCAGCUCGUGUCGUGAGAUGUUAGGUUAAGUCCUAAAACGAGCGCAACCCUUGUCGUUAGUUACCAGCACGUUAUGGUGGGGACUUUAGCGAGACUGCCAAUUAAAAAUUGGAGGAAGGUGAGGAUUACGUCAAAUCAUCAUGCCCCUUAUGAUCUGGGCUACAAACGUGAUACAAUGGCUGUUACAAAGAGUCGCUGAAACGUGAGUUUUUGGCUAAUCUCAAAAAAGCAGUCUCAGUUCGGAUUGAAGUCUGCAACUCGACUUCAUGAAGUUGGAAUCGCUAGUAAUCGCGAAUCAGCAUGUCGCGGUGAAUACGUUCUCGGGGUUUGUACACACCGCCCGUCAAACCACGAAAGUUGACAAUACCCGAAAGCAGUGACUUAACUUCGCAAGAAGAGGGAACUGUCUAAGGUAGGGUUGAUGAUUGGGGUUAAGUCGUAACAAGGUAUCCCUACCGGAAGGUGGGGAUGGAUCACCUCCUUUCU
rnacentral:rRNA from 1 species